CCUUCCCACAGCACAGCAAUGCCGGCCUAGGCAUCCUUUUCGUGGCUGUCGGGGCCUGGCCCUCCUCGGGCACUCGCGCGCCUUCGUGGCCGCAGGGCGACACGCCGGCCUUCCCACGCCGCCCCCUCAGUCUACAAAGGACGCGCCCCCUUCCUGCGUGUGCUGCCUCUGCUCUUCCAAACUGCCCCCUCUCCAAGGGACUCUUUCUUAAGGGAGUAAAAACUGGAAGGAACUGAGCCUAGAACGCCUGCCAGGCGAUGCCCGCCUGCCCAGGACGCCCAUCGGGCGGGCGCAGAAAGGGAGCGCCCCUUUCCUAGGGUCUCCUUACUCGCAGCUUUAGCUCCAAAUAGAGAAAACAGGAAAGGGGAGCUCAAAGAACCCCCCCAAAUGAGGGGAAACUAAGGAAACAGGGGUUAAGGAGGCCCUACACCAGUCCUUCGGCAACCACGUUACGCCCACAGCCCACUCGAGAGCGCAGCGAGGAGGCCCGCGUGGCCAGAGCGCGCAAGCAGUCCGCAGCGCGGAUGUCGCCUGCACUCCACCACGCAAACAUCCAGUGAGCGUUUUAGGCUGUUCAUCGCUACCCCCUGCCCUGGCCCUUCCCCCUGUGGUGAGGGGCCUCGGGGGCUGGGCAGGGCACAGGAAGGAGCAGCUGCUGCAGUCCCCAUGCUUUCCCCCUGGCGUGCGAGUCUCGGUAGGCUUGGGCUUUGCUUUAGCCGUCGCUGGAUGGAUAGAAGCAGAGCGGUGGCGGGCUGCUUUUAAUUUUUCGCUUUCUUUCUCUCGAAUGCUCUCUUCCCAGCACUCCCCAUCCCCCAGCUUGCCCUGGGCUCCGUCUUUCCAGAAACUUCUCAGGGAAACUCAGCAAAAAGCCACAGGCUCCGCCACCACCUCCCUCCUAAAGCAUGCGCAACAAGGCUGGGCGGCAAGCUCGGCGCGCGCGUGUGGGAGUGUGAGAGUGGUACGUGCGCGCGCGCGUCGGGCGGGGCGGGGCCGUUCUUUGCACAAUAAAGAGAACAGGUUUUUCUUCCCUCCCCCAAAGUUCCGUCGUUGCGCAAGCGCAUUGGGGCAACUCCCCUGGCCUUUGAGAGAAGAGGAAGGGGCAGGCGAAGCUCUCGAGUCGUUGCUCCGCGCGCCUGCGUACUGGGUCGUCUUCGCCGCGCUGUCUUCCGCGCUGCUUGUGGCAGCGUAUUUGUGGUCAAGUGGUUUGAGCCAGUCCAUUGUGCCCUAUUCAGUGUUUCCUCAACUCCCACUCGCGGAAACUGUAGCCUUUGAGGCGUUAUUAAUUCUGUACCGUGGGUUUCCUGGAGAUUAGCCUUCCCUUUGUGCCUCAGGGCUGAGGUUGGACUGUCUCGUUGUCCCCCUUCCACUGCUGCCUGCGCCAUGUUUGGAAUGGCUCCUGACUGGAUUCGGUGCCUGGAGUGUGGUGGAGCCUCCUCCAAGUUUGGGGAAACAGCCCUGGCCUAUGGACUAGGUGGUGGCCAGGCUGGCUUCCAUCAGGCGCUGCCUGCAGUUCUUGCUCACUAAGCCAAAAGAGAGGUGUCCUUUAUUUGGAAAGCCGCCCUUGGUCCUCGACGCAAGCCUCAGCUCGGGCUGGUCGCUAGGUUUGUCCUCGGCGGCGGAUGCGGACAAAGAAAGGCCCCUGGCUACAGCUCUGUCGCCCUUUGCAGAAUUGAGCUUGGAGGGCGGUAACCAUUGUAACCGCAUUUUUCUUAAGCCCAUGAAUUUUUCUUCAGCAUGAUUUUAACUGAAGGCUGCCUUCAAGGCCGGCGCCUGGGACCCCCGCUCUAGCGGCUGGAGGGCGUCCCUGCCUCUGCACCCGCGGCGCCGGGGACUGACUGACUGCCCGCCCCGCAGCCGGCUCCCCGUGCUGCUGCGCGCCUGCGCACCGGGACCGAGCGCGCGAGCGUCCCUUCCCGGCCCCGCGUUCCU